rnacentral:tRNA from 1 species
GGCAAUAUGACCGAGUGGUUAAGGUGAUUGACUCGAAUUCCCUUUAAAUUGGUUUCUGUCGUUUGAAUAGAAACGUUUAAAAGCUUGAUAUCAAUUCCCUUCGGGGGCGCAGGUUCGAAUCCUGCUGUUGUCG